rnacentral:lncRNA from 1 species
GAAAUUAUUAUGAACCAUUUGAUUUAAAAUAAAACACAUUUACCCUUCAUUUAUGUUUAAUGAAUAUUUACCAGCUACCCAAGUUACACGUAAUUUUUUAAGUCUUAAUUUAAUUCAGGUUAGCUUUUAUCACAUUUUUACAAAUAAUUUUUUUAUACAUAAGUCAUAUAUAAUUUUUUUAAUCAUUGAUUUGCUAUAUAAUAUUAAAAAAAACAAAUGGACUUUUUUUUAAAAAGGGGAUAUAUAGUAAGCAAAAUCAUUAUAAAAUUAUUCCAUAAAACUUCGAAUUAGAUCUUUAAAAAAAAACUUUAAAUUAGAUGCAUCUUAUAUACAUUAUUUAGACGUACCAUUUCAUUUUGUUGUUUACAAUACCAAUUUUGAAAAUGUAAAAUAAUAAUAUGUAAAUUUUAUAUGAAUUAUACACUUCAAAAGAAAACUCAUCAACUUAAAAUAAAUGGUUUGUGAUUUGAAUCACAAAGUUGUUGAUAUUGCCCACAAAUAGAUAGUUUUUAUUGUUAGUUGUUUUGAUAAUGUAGACAUGGUAUAUGGUGAACGAAUAAUAAAAAAUAAUAAAUAUGAUGAAAAUUAUAAAAUCACACACAAAGAAAAUUAGAGAAUUAUAUAUUGAUAAAUGUUAGAGAAUUAGACAUGGUAUAUGUGAGACAAUUAUGUAAUUGUCCAUUAAAAAGAUCGAAAAAUUUUAAAAUAAUUAUUGAGAUUUGAUAAGAACAAAAUAAUAAUGGAAACAAAAUGAUUGAUUACCGUUGUCUUUAUUAAUCAAUACAAAGAUUGACAAUCAUUCAAUGUAAAAAUGGCUUCAAUGACAAUCAUUCGAUGUAAAAAUGGCUUCAAUCUUUGUUAAUUACUCAAAUUCUCAAAUACCAUAUCAAUUAUAUCAUUUUUAUUUUUAUUUAUUCAUAAUUAUAGAUUUUUUUUUCUUUCUGAAAGAAUUCAUUCAUUGUAAAAAUUGAGCAUUUGUGCUUAUUAAAAUGAAUUUCAUGAGUUAAUGUUUUUCAUCAAUUAUAAGGUAAAUCAUUAUAUAUGAAUUUUUUUUUUAUAAUUUUCCACUGUACGUAUAAAUUAUCAAAAUCAACAGUAAUGCAUUAUGAUAUUUAUUUCAGUCAAAUAAUGUAAUUAUAAUUUAGUAAUAUAAGAUAAAAAUACAAUCUAUUUAUGAGUAAUGGAAUUUACUUAACAACUGACUUAUAAGACAGGAUUUAUAUAAUGUAAUUGUUAUACCGUUUAUAAAUAAAUAGUAUAUUAAAUUAUAUUUUAUAUGUAUAAAGCAUUAAAUAAUCAAAAUUUUGUGGCAUUUGAUUGUUGUGUUUGAAUUAAUUUCUUUUUCUUUCUAAGUUAUAAAUCUCUCUCUAUCCUAUUAAAACUGGUAUGAUUUCUUAACAUUCAUCAAAUCCAAGUUAUUUAAUUAGUAAAGAGUUACCUGCAUAAUAAAUACUUCUAUUUUUUAUUUUAUCUUAUUUAAUUAUUAUAAAUGGUAAAUUUCAUCUAAUGAUUUACAUUAAUCCCACCAUUAAUGUUGGGAUUUUUAAACAGCAUGAUGGAGGGCUGCUAAAAUGACAAUAAAGGAAAAUCGAAAAUCGAAAAUGAUUUUAAAGAAGACUUAGACAGCAGGAGGUGUGGCCGCAGUUUGCUAGCAAUAGCAAAAUUUUUAGUCGCGACGAUCUUCUAUUUUUGGGUAGCAUGAACAUAUAAAACCGGCACUAACUUUAUUUUAUUGAAGCUGAAUUUUCUUGGUUUAUGAUGUGAUUUAAACUUUAAACUUUAGUGGUCCUCAUUCUUUCACCUAAUUUUAAAUCUUCUAUUACUCAUUGGUGAUGUUAGCUGGGGUCAGUUGCUCUACUUAAAUGAACUUGUUGCUUUCAAUUCUCAGUUGUAUAGAUAUGUUAAUGCUUAUUCUCUUAACAAAGACAGCAGUAUUUUCAUUUAUCAUUCUUUGAGUUGCAGAAGUACUGGGGCUCUGUUUGGUAUUUAAGGUUGGGCUAGUUUAAAAGUUAUGAUGAUUCGGAUUACUUUUUAUAGGUAAAGACAAGACAAUUGCUAAACAACUGGCAAAAUAAAGCUUAGUUGGGACUUGGGGUUAGUUGAAUGGAGCUAUCAACCAUGUUGAUUUCCAAUAGUUACUGAUAAUGACUUGCAAUAAUUAAUGGACAUUUUAACUGUUUGAUAUGUAUAUAUAUUUUCAGUUAGUCAUAAAUAUGAAUUGGAAAUGUCGAUUCACGGCUACAGGUUAAUUACUUAUUAACAAAUUUUGGGAAUACUCAGCAGUUGAUGUCAAAAUAACAACACAAUGCCAGACUAUAUAUGCGCAUGAAUCUGUUGGCCUUCUUCCACCCCUACACAUGGUUAAAAAUGAGAAGAUGGAAGUUUCCAUUUAUCAAUGGAGUUUGAUGAAGUUUCCAUUUUUCAGUGAAUGGUUGUCCCAAUUUGUUAAUUCCUGUGAGGGUGGUAACUGCAAGUUGCAGCAAAUGACUCAAAACAUCUGAAGGAGUUUCAAGUCAUUCAUAACCUCGCAGAUUUCAUAAAUCUGCAUUCAGUGACACUCACGCCUUCAUUUAUGAAAAUUUUGCACGUACCAUUUGUCUGCAGUGGCCGUGAACCUUACAGUUUCUAAUUCAUUUGCUUGACGUGAUUGAUAUAUAUCUCUGGGACCACAGAGUGGUUUUGGUACAAUGUUGAUGAUAAUGCUGUGAUUUCUUCCAUGCUUGUAAUUAAUCUUUAAUGUAUCAUUGGGUUGUUCUGCUCACUGCGAAUAUAUAAAUUACUUCGUAAGAGUGUGUUGGCAUUCUAUUGCUGAAACAAUGAGGUAACGUGAGAAGGCAGGCGAUGUGGAGAGGUGAGAGGUCACAUGCAUGUUACAUCGCUGUAACUGUUUGAUGAGAAUGAGAGCGCAAAUACGGACACAUUGCCUCUGGCUGAUCUGCUUAGUCACUAUAGAUGGAAAUAAGUGCGAAGUGCCCAUAUUUAAACAUGCCACAUGCAAUCAAUUAUCCUGAGGCUCUUUCUCUGUGCUUGUGGGCGGCGAGGUGGGGCUUUGCUUUUGACUUGUUAUUGCUGCAGCUGCUAGGUGAUAUUUCACAAUUGAGUCUUUAGCUGAUGAUUAUCAACUUGACAAUGACCACUUCUCUACCAAGCUUGUGGGGUUGGCUUAUGUGGUGAGGUGAGUGAGAGUGACCGAAGUUGGUCUGAUUCUAGUGGAUUUUCCACCAUCAUGCUCAUGGCAAAGCCAUAAACAUCCUUAACUUUGGAUUGGCAGUGUAAUCAAUUGAUAAAUAUGAUGCUUUUUCAUUACAAAUCCUAAUCAAAUUCCCAGGUCUGACUAAUGAGAGUGUCCAAUCCCUUAGCCCAGCGGGCACGAAAGGUGUCCGUUAUAGGAUCCAUGGGCCAUCCGCCAUCUCAUCUUCCUUUGUCUUUUCUACGGCUGAAAUUCAUUCAUAAAUCCAUUCACUCUCUCUUUGUAGAAUGAAUUAAAGUGACACAUUCGUCGAUUCUACUGAUCAGGGUGGCCAAUACAUGUGGGCACAUCCCAUGUUAGCAUGUUACCCUUUCAUCAGCACUUGUCAUUGGCGAUGUAAUAUUAGUAAAAGCCCUCUUCAAUUGGGAACAUUUAAACAUGUGAUAAGCUGAUAAUCAAUCACGGGUUGUAAUGUCAUGGCCAUGCUCCAACCUCCACUUCCCAUCAAUGGUGCAUUUUCAAAAUUAACAACCUACUGCUUUGAUUUUUUUUUUUGGCAAAAUUUGUCGUAUCAGGCGAGCGAGAAAAGCCGGAGCGUCAAACGGUCAAAAAUUGCACUACCCGAAUAAUUUCUAAAACGAGUCUAAUUCGCCAAUUUAGUCAACCCAUAAUUCUUAAUUCCCUCGCCAACUCUCUCUGCUAAUUAGAUCUCCAGAAACAAAUUCCUUUUCUUCAUGGCCAUCCAUGGCCGGCCGGUAUAAUUUAUUUACUCUGUAGUCUGUUCGAUAAUUACUUUUAAUUCAUACAUCAACGUUUAAAGAAGGCCUCCUAGCUUUUAUUACAAUCUAUAUAUUAAUAAUAAUAGCAAAGAUGAGUACAUCCAAUUAACUGCAGUGAGGUGGAUUUUUUAAAAAAUUAAACAAAUAAAAAUUAUACAUAUGAAAUUAUGAACAUGAUAAGACGUGCGGCAUAAGUGCGUUAAAUUAUUCUUAUUGUAUGAUCAUCAAUUGAACGUUGACUACGUGUACCAAUGUAACAGUUGAGAUUUUUAUAAACUAAAAGAAAAAGGAGCAAAGAAAAAUUUAUAGUCUCUGCCUUACAGAGAGGGUCGAAUUUGCUCGGACUGUGUCGGUGGACUGGGGACUAAUGCUGCCUAUAAUUAGCCAGAGAAAGAGGACCACCGUGGUAAUUCGUUUAAGAGGAUUAACGUGCCCGACAAUUGAUCUUUCUAUUUCAGUUUGAAGUCUGAAUAAUUAAGGCGCAAAUUGCGUGAUUGGUUUAAUUAAUUAAAAUGUAUAUAAGCGUAGGCCGGAGUAAUAAUGGGCUGCAUGAUCUACACACCUAAUGCAUGCAGAGGUCAAAUACCGAAAUUCACGUGAAGUGCUAUUGACUUGUGUGCUACAAGUUAAUAAUUUAUCCAUCCAUUUCCUUCCAUCAAAAUUUGAAAAUUCCACAGUUUUUAUUUAUUUAUUUAUUUAGUCAUAUAUGUGCUACAAUUAAGUCAGAGGAGGAUCAAGAUCCACCUUCAGUUUGGUCAUCGUGGAAUAUGAAGUUGUUGUUUGUGAGUAUGAACAGUUGUAAAUUCAUACUUGCAUUAAUAUAAUCGCAGUUAUAACAAUCUAAUAAUUUGUGUAUUAAAAUCAACGACGGAGUAAAAUGUUGCCGAAAAAAAUAUCAACUCUUAUAACUUUCGAAAUUCAAAUGAAUUAAAUAGCAUAAACAAAGUUGAAAUAGAUCUUGUUUGUUAUUAAAAUAUUGUAAAAAAUAAUAAUAUAUUAUAAAUAUAAUUUUUAAAUAAUAAUCUUAAUAAAAAUAUUAUAAAUUUUUAUAAUACAAAGAAUAAAUCAAAUUAAUUUAAUUUUUAAAUUAUAAUAAUUAAUAUUUAUCAAAUAUUUUAAUUAUCCAACGUCAAUGGCAACCAUAUUAUUAUGAGGGCAAACCAUGAGGAGGAAGCAACCCGACAAAGGCUGCUUUUAUUUACAGCUCCAAACCAACAAACGACGAUACGAAACGACACGCAUAAUGCAAAAACAAGCGUGAAAUCUUUAUAAUGAGUGGGCUGCCAAUUUGCAGGGUUUGAACUUACAGGUACAGAGGGUUAAUUGUUUGUUGCAAAGAACAGCAGCUGCUUGGCACUUCGCAAUUUGCUGCUGCGGGUGGGUCCUUCUUCAAUACCAUCUUUGGACUGCCAGCCAUAUCAGCACGCCUGCCACAGCUCACAGCCAAUUUCUUUUCAUUAAAGAUAAAUGCUUAGGCGGUGUCUAUAUUUUAGGUUAACUAUUUGUUUAAUCAUUAUAUCUUAAAAUUCACCCAAGACUCUCCUGUUACUAAUUAUGCGACACUCAUCUGUCGGGUGAGAUUUUUGAAUAUAAUCUUUUAGUUAAUUACACAAAAUUUCUAGCUUUGGAUGCCUAGUUUGAAAAUUUCACGCAUAUCCCUAUAAUUGGAGAAAACCUUCCUAAGUAAGCUGAAUUUUUUAUUUAUCUCAAAUGUGACGCGAACAAUUGAUAGCCGCAUGUCUAAUAUAAACAGUAACUAAAAAAUUUUAACUGAAUCUAAAAAUUGGUGUAAGCUUCGCCCCAGACAGUCAUUUACUUCUUCUUUUUUUAUAAUAAUACUCUUGCAAUAGUCUUUGGAGACAUUAGUAAAAAAAAAAAAGGCAAAAUGUUAAUUUAUGAAAUUAACCAAAUAUCAAAUAAUAACAUGUAAAGAAGACAAGAUGUUAAUCUAACAAUUAGUCAAAAAUAAAAAAGGUUAUUAUCAUUUUACUACUUUAAAAAUUGUCAAAUAUCAAAUUACUACAACAAGUAUUGUCUCC